AUCACUUUGUUUAAAAACCCUUCUCCCAUGCCAAAAGGAGAAGUGAUGACAUUGUUGGCAACAUUUUGUGCAAUGAUAUUUUCAUUCAAAUAAUUCAUGUUAAACAUUUGUUUUUCCAUUUGUUUUCCCUUUUCGCUUUUUGCAUGAAAUUGGUGAUCACAAAAAACCUUAAAAAACAGGAAUAAAAGCAAUCUUUUCAUCUGCAUAACGAUUGUCUUGUUUGUUUUUCAAAGUGCUUUUUAUACUCAAAAUCUUUAUGCAGGUUGUUUCUCAAACCCAUUGAAU
rnacentral:lncRNA from 1 species